rnacentral:tRNA from 1 species
GCCCUUGUAGCUCAGUAGGCAGAGCACAUUCUUGGUAAGAAUGAGGUCUCGAGUUCGAAUCUCGACAAGGGCU